GUGAAACUUUAUCCUUAAAAUGUUGAUUGUCACUUAAGAUCGCUGUCCAGAUGUUAAGCAAGGACCUUAUAAUCCCAGCGGCUUGGGAAGCUGAGGCCAGAGGAUUCUGAGUUCAGCAAAAGCCUAUCUCUAAAUAAAAUAUAAAAAAGGGCUGGCAGUGUAGUUCAGUGGUUAAGUGCCCCAGGUUCGAUUCCCAGUACCAAACAACAACAACAAAAGUCACCAAAUAUUUAAAAACUCUUCCUUUAUGCUAUCAGUUUCUAAAAGUGGGGAAAAUGUUAUUUGAAAGAUGUAACUGAACUUGAAUUGAUUCUCAGACAAUUCAUAAAUCAAAAUGGCAAAGCAGAAAUCAGAGGACUGAGAAACAGAGUAUUGGUUUCUCUCAUGCUUUAAGAAGAUAGUUAAUGGGCUAGGGUUGUGGCUCAGUUGGUAGAGCGCUUGCAUGGAGCACUGGGUUCAAUCCUCAGCACCACAUAAAUAAAUAAAAUAAAUAAAAUUGUGUCCGUCUACAACUAAAAAUUAAAAGGAGAAGGAGAAGGAGAAGAAGACAGCUAAUGUUUUCAAAAGUAUACAGAGGGAAACUUGGUGCCUGUGGCACACACCUGUAAUCCCAGGGAUUCAGGAAGCUGAGGCAGGAGGAUCACAAGUUCAAGUUAGGGAGAUCCUAUCUUAAAAUAAAAAAAUAAAAAGUCCUGGGGAUAUAGCUCAGUGUUAAAGCACCCCUGCAUCAAUCCCCAGUACAAAUAAAAAAGAAAGAAAGAAAGAAAGAAAGACAAUGACCUUCCUUUAUAUAGCAAUUACUUGUUUAUUUUUUAUUGUGUAGGUUAACAUUAUAAACUUUAAUCUCUAUAUAUUAUUUGAGACAUUUGUGAGGUUCCACUUUGUUUUCUUUCUGUACUGGGGAUUGAACCUAGAAGUGCUCUACUACUGAGCUACAACUUGCCCCACAUGUAAAAAAUAUUCUUAUUUUGAGUUUGAGUCUUGCUAAAUUGCUCAGACUGGUCUUGAACUUACUGUCUUCCUGCCUCAGCCUUCCCAGAUGCUGGGAUUAUAGGCGAGCACCACCAGGCCCAGCUUGGUUCCACUUUUGGACUAAACUCUAUUGACUUUUGCAUAGUUAGUUCUCUGCACUUUGCACUACCACUUCCAGAUAAAAUCUUAAUCAAGUGUGUGCUUGUCUGCUGAGUUCCUACACCAUGACUUUGCAUUCUGUCUUUGGACUUUCACUUCCUGAAUGUACAAGACACAUUUUUAUCACUCUCUUUCAUAUCAAGGAAAGCGUUGGGGAAUCUUAGAGGGAAGGUGGCUUAUGUGGACUGUGGGUGUUAGCUCAAUGAUACAGUGCUUGCCCAGUACAUGCAGGGCUCUAGGUUCAAUCCCUGGUACUGCCAAAAACAAAAAAGCUGCACAUUCACAGCUGUAAGCUCUACCAUCCCUGAUAGCCCUGACAAGCAAUGGGUUUAUUUGGUCUCACUGGAGGCCUGCUCUGCUUCUGUGCACAAGGUGAGCUGGGGCUGGCAGCCAAGGUAAUGGCAGUAAUGUAGAACUAAG
rnacentral:lncRNA from 1 species